rnacentral:lncRNA from 1 species
AGCUUUGAGGGCGUUGAUGGGCUGCUGGUCGGAGGUGAGAAGGCCACCAUGCAGAACCUCAAUGACCGCCUGGCCUCCUACCUGGACAAGGUGCGUGCCCUGGAGGAGGCCGACACUGAGCUGGAGGUAAAGAUCCGUGACUGGUACCAGAGGCAGGCCCCGGGGCCCGCCCGUGACUACAGCCAGUACUACAGGAUAAUCGAGGAGCUGCAGAACAAGAUCCUCACAGCCACCGUGGACAAUGCCAACAUCCUGCUACAUAUUGACAAUGCCCAUCUGGCUGCUGCUGACUUCCGCACCAAGUUUGAGACAGAGCAGGCCCUGUGCCUGAGUGUGGAGGCCGACAUCAAUGGCCCGUGCAGGGUGCUGGAUGAGCUGACCCUGGCCAGAGCCGACCUGGAGAUGCACAUUGAGAACCUCAAGGAGGAGCUGGCCUACCUGAAGAAGAACCACGAGGUGAGGUGGCUGGGGCAGAAGGUCAAAGAUGCUGAGGAGUGGGUGGCAGAGCCCUGGGGCUGGGCCAUGGCUGAGGCCGUGGGAGAGAGCAGAGCAGGCGCACUGGGAUUAGUCACCUUAGAGGGCUUCCCUGUCUGCGGAGCCCUGAUCCUUGGGGUCCAGCGUGCAGGGCAGACUCCU